rnacentral:rRNA from 1 species
GGGUCAGUAGGUUGGUCGUGCCACCGGUACGUACUGGUCUCACUGAUUCCUCCUUCCUGAAUAACCGAUUUGCCAUUAAUUUGGUGUUGCGGGGAAACAGGACUGUUACUUUGAAAAAAUUAGAGUGUUUAAAGCAAGCUAACGCUUGAAUACAUUAGCAUGGAAUAAUGAAAUAGGACGAUCGAUCCUAUUUUGUUGGUUUCUAGGAUUGACGUA